rnacentral:rRNA from 1 species
AUACGUAGGGGGCGAGCGUUGUCCGGAAUGACUGGGCGUAAAGGGCGUGCAGGCGGCGGUGUAAGCCUGGAGUGAAAGCCCCGCAUUCAACGUGGGAAUUGCUUUGGAUACUGCAGUGCUAGAGCGCGGAAGAGGUAAGUGGAAUUCCCAGUGUAGCGGUGAAAUGCGUAGAGAUUGGGAGGAACACCAGUGCCGAAGGCGACUUACUGGGCCGUAACUGACGCUGAGGCGCGAAAGCGUGGGGAGCGAACAGGAUUAGAUACCCUGGUAGUCCACGCGGUAAACGAUGAAUGCUAGGUGUUGCGGGUAUCGACCCCUGCAGUGCCGGAGUAAACACAAUAAGCAUUCCGCCUGGGGAGUACGGCCGCAAGGUUGAAACUCAAAGGAAUUGGCGGGG